GUCGAGAGAUUAUUUAAAUUAUUAUUUAUUGAGAAAACACGUGCAGAUGUGGAAAAUGGCUAAGGGGCCCGGAAAAGUCACUCACCUUUCUUGACAUCAAAGACCGAGUCGUGAGACUUGAGCUGGAAGUCCUUCCGGGCUCGAGCGUACUGGAGCGGGACGGGCGGGUUAAGCCGCAGCGUCUCGUACACGACCGACUUCACCAGCUCCAUCUCCUUCACCGAGUCGAAGCUCAACACCGGCCCUCCCUUUUCCCGGA